rnacentral:rRNA from 1 species
GACAGAGGGUGCAAACGUUGUUCGGAUUUACUGGGCGUAAAGCGCGUGUAGGCGGCUUGGCAAGUUGAAUGUGAAAGCCCACGGCUCAACCGUGGAAGCGCAUCCAAAACUGCUUCGCUCGAGUCUCGGAGAGGAAGGUGGAAUGCUUGGUGUAGAGGUGAAAUUCGUAGAUAUCAAGCAGAACACCUGCGGCGAAGGCGGCCUUCUGGACGAUGACUGACGCUGAGACGCGAAAGCGUGGGGAGCAAACAGG